rnacentral:rRNA from 1 species
GACGAACGCUGGCGGCGUGCUUAACACAUGCAAGUCGAACGGAAAGGCCCUGCUUUUGUGGGGUGCUCGAGUGGCGAACGGGUGAGUAACACGUGAGUAACCUGCCCUUGACUUUGGGAUAACUUCAGGAAACUGGGGCUAAUACCGGAUAGGAGCUCCUGCUGCAUGGUGGGGGUUGGAAAGUUUCGGCGGUUGGGGAUGGACUCGCGGCUUAUCAGCUUGUUGGUGGGGUAGUGGCUUACCAAGGCUUUGACGGGUAGCCGGCCUGAGAGGGUGACCGGCCACAUUGGGACUGAGAUACGGCCCAGACUCCUACGGGAGGCAGCAGUGGGGAAUAUUGCACAAUGGGCGGAAGCCUGAUGCAGCAACGCCGCGUGCGGGACGACGGCCUUCGGGUGGUAAACCGCUUUCGCCUGUGACGAAGCGUGAGUGACGGUAAUGGGUAAAGAAGCACCGGCUAACUACGU